AUGCUGAAAAGACAUAAAGGAAGCAGUCACCCCAGUCGUGUUUGUGGAGAGGUAUUCCUUCAGAAAUGGAGAAGACAGAAAGCUGCAGAGGCAGGAUUGUUUGCACAUAACACUGUAGAUCUCCAUCAUGCACAAGGACUCACCUAUUUAACUCUUUAUCCCCCCCGCCACACACACACAGAAAUGGUUCCUGGAUCAGUGACUUAAGACUUUGCAGUGAUUUGAUUUCUGCAGAAGAUGUAACUUUGUUUUAAUUAAGCUUAUAAUGAAUACAUUGUGACCUUCCAGCAACCCAUAUACUG
ensembl:lncRNA